AGAGUUUGAUCAUGGCUCAGAUUGAACGCUGGCGGCAGGCCUAACACAUGCAAGUCGAACGGUAACAGGAAUCAGCUUGCUGAUUUGCUGACGAGUGGCGGACGGGUGAGUAAUGUCUGGGAAACUGCCUGAUGGAGGGGGAUAACUACUGGAAACGGUAGCUAAUACCGCAUAAUGUCGCAAGACCAAAGAGGGGGACCUUCGGGCCUCUUGCCAUCGGAUGUGCCCAGAUGGGAUUAGCUAGUAGGUGGGGUAACGGCUCACCUAGGCGACGAUCCCUAGCUGGUCUGAGAGGAUGACCAGCCACACUGGAACUGAGACACGGUCCAGACUCCUACGGGAGGCAGCAGUGGGGAAUAUUGCACAAUGGGCGCAAGCCUGAUGCAGCCAUGCCGCGUGUAUGAAGAAGGCCUUCGGGUUGUAAAGUACUUUCAGCGGGGAGGAAGGGAGUAAAGUUAAUACCUUUGCUCAUUGACGUUACCCGCAGAAGAAGCACCGG
rnacentral:rRNA from 1 species